GCCAGCCUCUACCGCUGGUUCCCCCUCAUCCCCGCCGCCUCCCUCAGCGCGGCGGGGUUCGAGCUGCCGCCCGCUGCAGGCAGCGCCGCCGUGAGGGGCUGCCCCGCCACCGGGCCCUGCCGUUACCUGGGAGAGCCGGGGAAGACCUAGAGAGGGGGAAGCGGACCCUGUGCCCAGGACUUGUGUGGAAGUGCUCCAUGGUCACUGCCAUGUCAGUGAUAAGUAUCAAUGCACACUGCAUGGCACCCCACGAUGCUGAAGAGGAGACAAUGCUGAGGACCUGCCCAAAUACACCUAUCCCAGACCUGACCUGCUUUGUGCUGGAGAUCCUAUCACUUUGCUGAAGUGAUGCAGAGGACAAAAAACGUGAUGGAGGUCAAGUUCAGCAAUACGUGGCAAUGCACAGCCUGGACUAUGAGGGGAGCUAUUUUUAACCUGGAUGUGUUCUGUGAUUUGUUUCCCACACAGCAUGGAAACUGGCACAGCUGAGGGGUUGACAGCAAUGAAGUUGCACCAAGAAGUCCAAGAGCAAUCAGGAGAGACUUCAGGACUUCGGGAUGGUUGCUUAAGGGGUCGGGAGCACAGAUACUG